GGUCAUUGAAGUUUCAAAAGCUAGACCCUGGCCAGGGUCUUUCUCUUCCUGCCGCGCUCCCUCAGAACUGGCUGAAGAACACUAGCUACUUCUCCAGCUGCGUGCCGCCAUGUUCCCUGUCAUGGGGAUAAAGGGACUAAAUCCCUCUGAAACGGUUCAUCUAUGAAGCAGCUGGCUCCAGAACCUUCUGCCUGCCUAAGGCCGAAUAAUGCUCUGCUUCUGAGUAUGCUGACUUGGGUUGUCUGUUUACCUCACUGCUGGCUGCUGGCUGCUGUCCCCCUGGGAGCUCCCUGCUUGGCUGCUGUGGCUAAUGCUGCCAGGAGGAGGAAGAAUGGACCCUUGCAAGGACACAGCUACCGCCCAGGGGUGCCUGGCGAGACAGAUUCUGCAAAUGUUUGUCAGCUCAGAGCCAGGUCUAGAAUGUGGCCUCUCUGGAGCUCGCUUGUUGGCUCCCCCAGAUGCAUCAUGGAAGGAGUUCCGCAUGCUCUGAGACAGUUUCUUCCCAGGAGGGGAUCAGCUUACUGGAGCAGCGCUGUUUUCUGUGGACCCUUGUCUAGUUGUGGCGGUUGCUGGGAAAGAUGAAGUCCCCAGACUGGAGCUCAGGCUGCAAAGAGGCUGGCAUGAAGCGAGAUGCCCCUUCUAGGCCAAGGCAAGAUCUGCUGCCCUCUGACUUCUACCUGUUGCUGAGAUGACUUCUGUCGCCAAGGCACCUGGAUACCGAGCCACUCCUUGACAAAAGCCCUCUCCAGCCUGCGUGGACCUCGCGUGAGAGAAGUCUAGGUGGCUGUGGGCAGCCCACAGGCUUCCGUUGCCGCUGCGUUACAGCUUGUCGUCUUAAUCUUGAAAUGAGACCUGGUUCACUUGAUCUCAUUAAUAAAAGGUCUGUGCUCCCCCUAGUCAUAAAAACACGCCACCCUCCUGUUCACUGUCCUCUGAAGGAGCUGUUUUAUUUCAGUGUUUUUAAGGUGGUACUGGAUCCAUAGGCUCACACGGCCCCUACUUUCUUGGUGCUAUCUGAUGAUGUACCUUAAGCCCCCAGAGAAGUCGCUAGGUACCAGCAUUAUGGACUUUGAUGGAGACGUCACCUUAGAUGCUUAUCAGCCUGUAAAGUAAAAUUCCAAUUUUCCUA
rnacentral:lncRNA from 1 species